GAGCCGGAGGGAAACCGAGUCUUAACCGGGCGUUAAGUUGCAGGGUAUAGACCCGAAACCCGGUGAUCUAGCCAUGGGCAGGUUGAAGGUUGGGUAACACUAACUGGAGGACCGAACCGACUAAUGUUGAAAAAUUAGCGGAUGACCUGUGGCUGGGGGUGAAAGGCCAAUCAAACCGGGAGAUAGCUGGUUCUCCCCGAAAGCUAUUUAGGUAGCGCCUCGUGAAUUCAUCUCCGGGGGUAGAGCACUGUUUCGGCUAGGGGGCCAUCCCGGCUUACCAACCCGAUGCAAACUGCGAAUACCGGAGAAUGUUAUCACGGGAGACACACGGCGGGUGCUAACGUCCGUCGUGAAGAGGGAAACAACCCAGACCGCCAGCUAAGGUCCCAAAGUCAUGGUUAAGUGGGAAACGAUGUGGGAAGGCCCAGACAGCCAGGAUGUUGGCUUAGAAGCAGCCAUCAUUUAAAGAAAGCGUAAUAGCUCACUGGUCGAGUCGGCCUGCGCGGAAGAUGUAACGGGGCUAAACCAUGCACCGAAGCUGCGGCAGCGACGCUUAUGCGUUGUUGGGUAGGGGAGCGUUCUGUAAGCCUGUGAAGGUGUGUCGUGAGGCAUGCUGGAGGUAUCAGAAGUGCGAAUGCUGACAUA
rnacentral:rRNA from 1 species